ACACACAGAGCCAGCUGCUUCAAGGAGGAGGCUGGGUUCCAGUCCCAGGGCACAUACUCCCAGGGCCAGGAGAAUUCUGCUUCGGGUAUGUGGAGGAGGCUCAACUGGGCCAGGGCUGGAAACUGCAAAGUGGGAGGAAUGGAGGGACAGAGGGAGGGAGCCCCGGGAGCCACAUCCUUGAUCUCUGGUCUGUUUCAGCAGAUCCGGACUUGGUGCUCUGGGUUUCUGUGUGACUCUGGGUCUCCCUCUCUCUAAUAUCUGGAUCUUGGCAUCUCUGUUUCUCUCUUCUGGGUCUUGGGCUCUGAGGCUGAUCACAUGAUGCUGGGUCACCACCUCUCCAGCCUACUUGGCUCUCUGUGUCCCCCUCCAAGUCUCCCUCUCUUUGCCUCUAUGUCUGCCUCUGUCUCCGUGUCCUUCCUUGUCCUUGCCAGGUGGGAGGAGGGGGCCCAGUGCUCAGGAAGCAGGUGUCGGCUCACUCAUACAGCAGGGAGUGAAGUUGAGGAGGGCACAGAGCCAGUAGCCCCUGGACACACAGCCACACUCCAGGACACAUACUCAGGGCGCUCACAAUGACGCGUAGAGAGAUGGGGUUCUUGCAGACACACACAGGUACACAAUUCAACACACAGCUCUGCCUAAAAAUACACAGGGAUGCCAGACACCGAGGGUCACAGGUAGCUGCUAAACGAAUCCUGCACACACACAAACACUCAUCCAGGCACCCCUGGGGCUGUGGGCCCCACACACCCUUAAGAACAUACAGACAAACAGGCACAAAGACAGCAGACACGGUCACACCCCGGAACACGGAUCUACGGAGGCCCCAGCACUCUCAGUUACACCGUGGCGGUCACCCUCAGAGCCACAUACAUACAGGAUUAAGGAGGCAAAUGAGCACAGACAGGCAAAUACCCUCAAGGACAACCAGAGACAGAGACACCUCCGGCACACCGAGGGACACGCCCAGGCACAGGCCGAGCCUCCUCAGCAUCUCUCCAGUUCUGGCUUGACCUACGGUGGGGGGAGGCAUCAGUUACCGUCACUCCAGUUCUGCCCUGGUCCAACUGGUUUGGCUGUCCCAGAGGGUGUUGGAGUCCUUGUGGUGAACAGACAGACUAACAAGCAGACAGACACAUUACUUGGGAACAACAACAAAAAAGCAAAAGCCAGAGGUCAUUGUCAUAUCUUGAAGAACUAGGAGGGAGAAAGAGCUGAAUAGGCCAUGGGAAGGCUAGGCCAGGACUGACUGGCCCACAGGCCAGCGUGCGCGGCAGACACAGCUAGGGGAAGCAGCAGAUGUAGGUUCUAGGCCUGACACUGCUGUGUUACCUUGGAUGGGUUGCUGCCUGUUUCUGGGUCUCUCUUCUGCUUCUAACAAAGAGGGAGUUGCCGUUGGUGAUUCUGAAGCAGUGAGAUUCUCAAAGACACUGCAGCAGUUGUAUAAACAGGGAGGGGUCCUGGGAGCCUUGGGAGUCUGAUUAGAAUAAUAAGAGCCCCCUCCCCUCCUCGGAGACUCCCCCCCAAGCCUCCUCCCCCGCCUCUAGACCUGGGCUCUACUCUGGAUUGAAGCACCAGAGGCCAGCAGCACCCCCUGCCCCCCAAUACACACAAACACAUGUGCUCCCGCAAACCUCAGCCGGGUCUUUUGCCCUCUCUGGACCUUAGGCGUCCAUGCUUGUGUAUUUAGGGGCUCACAUUUGGGCUCUGCGCCGGUGAGCCAGUCUAUGUGUGCACUGUCUGUCUGUCUGUCCGGCUGCCAGCAGCCUUCAGGCGCCAGGAGGGGAGGCAGCAGUCGGGGGAGGUGGGGGCGGGGAAGGAGGUAGCGUUGACAAGUUCCAAUGUCUGGCUUUCCCUCCUGGAAACCCCAAGCUGGGGCUGGCCCCCCCUCCUCUUCCUGUCUCUCUCGCUCAAGCACGUCCCUUCUAAGAGCCCCUCUCUGCAGACACCCCCAGUGGAACCAAGCCCAGAUUUGCUGCCAAGAAGGCCGACAUUUCUUAGACUUGCCACGUUAAAGGGGCCUGCACAGGCACGCACUCAAAUCCCCCUCCAUGUCCUCCUCCUGUGCACAUUCAGACGACCCGAGACACACAAAGACACGGUUGGACACAGCGGCCACCUGUGCACACAGGAGGUAGCACAUGGAGCGCAUCUGACCUCAGGCUCACAGACAAGUACAAACACAGCCGUGUACCGCCCCCCACACACACACUCAGCUCACCAUAGACUCCAAAGCACGCAGUUUCCAGCACGCGGUGCUCACAGACACGCACAAACACAGUCACACGCAGGGCCUUGCCGCGCAGAGGAACAAGUGCAAACCCGUAGCAUGUUGUCUCCCUGCACAAGCACAGCCAUCGCCACCACCAGGGCUGCUGCUGCCUGGUACAGACACAACCCCAGGAACACGACCUGUGCCGCCUGUUCCUGGUACGCACAGCCGAGCCCAGUCACACAGGGCGAUCCCCUGCAUCACCAGAGAGAAGAGUCCGCCAGGCACAGAGACACCCUGUGCCCACGCUCUGGACUUUUGGACCAGUCCACACUGUUAUACAGCGUCUUCCUGGGCACGGAGACCUGCC